rnacentral:lncRNA from 1 species
UGACCAUCAAUAUAGUAUUUCCAAGGCCUACCACCCCCUUGGAGAGGCGAAAGAGGUACAAACCCCUCAAUGUGGUUACCCGGGCCUACCACCCCCCGAGCUAGGGACCAAGGUACAAACCCCUCGAUAUGGUUAUACGGGCCUACUACCCCCCGUACUAGGCAACCAAGGUACCAACCCCUCGAUACGGUUAUACGGGCCUACUACCCCCCGUACUAGGCAACCAAGGUACCAACCCCUCGAUACGGUUAUACGGGCCUACUACCCCCCGUACUAGGCAACCAAGGUACCAACCCCUCGAUACGGUUAUACGGGCCUACUACCCCCCGUACUAGGCAACCAAGGUACCAACCCCUCGAUACGGUUAUACGGGCCUACUACCCCCCGUACUAGGCAACCAAGGUACCAACCCCUCGAUACGGUUAUACGGGCCUACUACCCCCCGUACUAGGCAACCAAGGUACAAACCCCUCGAUACGGUUAUACGGGCCUACUACCCCCCGUACUAGGCAACCAAGGUACAAACCCCUCGAUACGGUUAUACGGGCCUACUACCCCCC